CGCAAUAGAAGGUUCCAGACAUCGCGC
rnacentral:piRNA from 1 species